rnacentral:tRNA from 6 species
CAGAGAGUAGUUUAUAAAAAUAUUAGUUUUGGGAAUUAAAGAUAAAAGUAAUUUUUUCUCUGA